rnacentral:rRNA from 1 species
UACGAAGGGGGCUAGCGUUGCUCGGAAUCACUGGGCGUAAAGGGCUCGUAGGCGGCCAACUAAGUCGGACGUGAAAUCCCUCAGCUUAACUGGGGAACUGCGUCCGAUACUGGAUGGCUUGGAUUCGGGAGAGGGAUGCGGAAUUCCAGGUGUAGCGGUGAAAUGCGUAGAUAUCUGGAGGAACACCGGUGGCGAAGGCGGCAUCCUGGACCGGUAUUGACGCUGAGGCGCGAAAGCUAGGGGAGCAAACGGGG